rnacentral:rRNA from 1 species
UACGUAGGGUGCAAGCGUUGUCCGGAAUUAUUGGGCGUAAAGAGCUCGUAGGCGGUUUGUCGCGUCUGCUGUGAAAACUCGAGGCUCAACCUCGGGCUUGCAGUGGGUACGGGCAGACUAGAGUGCGGUAGGGGUGACUGGAAUUCCUGGUGUAGCGGUGGAAUGCGCAGAUAUCAGGAAGAACACCCGUGGCUAAGGCGGUUCUCUAGUACGGUACUGACGCUGAGACGCGAAAGCGUGGGGAGCGAACAGG